UCUGAGGCUACGCAGGACUCUGACAGAAGAAUACGGCCAGGGGACUUACUGAGAGGUCCACAACUGUCUUGAUGGCCUUUUCUUUUCUCUUUAUGAAGUCAUCAUCCUACAAGACAAAACAGAGCGAUUAAACAAAUCCCAAGGGAAAAUUAAAACUCAAGUGGACCACUCAGAUAUGUCUUAUAAAUUGACUUCUCAUCUCAUCACUACUUUGCCUGACGAAGUCUCAAUUUUCGAACAAAUUGUAAUAUAUUCUCCAUGGGAAAAGGCUACAAACCCUGCAGAUGGCUCCAACAUAGAUCCCUACACAGCCAGUAAGAAAAAGGGGGUCAUAAGGAAUAGUGCUUAAGACGAGAGUUCUCAUUUCAAAUCCUCUUAAGCACUGAAACCUCAGCUCGUUUCACCAGCCACUGGGGAAGAAAGUGAAAAGACAAGAGUUGCUAAGGACAACAUCCCACUGAAGUGAAGGCCAGUUCAGACAUGGCCCAACUCAUGAACUCAAAUCAGCAUAGUUGAACUGACUAGGUGAUAAGAAGCUAUCAACACAUGCUGUUCUAUAGGAAAAGCAACCAGCUGGGUAUCCAAGAUGUUAAGAUCCAAUGGGACCUAGUGCUGAGUAGCCGUGCAGGAGCUUUAAAGCCUUACUUCACAUCCUUGAGCCUCAGUUUUCCUUUCUGUAAAAGUAUAUCAGUUCCCUUCACCUCACAGAGCUAACAUGGGAGUAAAUGAAAUCACAAGUAGUAGAGUGAUUUGUAAACACCUGAAGCACAAAACAAACAGAGCUAUCUCCCAACUUCCUGGUCCUACUGGCAGAUCUUCAUGUAAAUCUCUUUUUCUUGUGCUCCUUACACGACAGACCAGGGAAAAGGGAGAGAACCACAGAGAAUGCUAGUGUAACUCCCCAUUUGACAAGUGAAAAAAUGUCCAAAAUACUCAGAUUUGACAAUGGUGCAUACUGAGUACGCAGUUGAAGGCACUGGUUUAUCCUGACAUUCAUAACAUUCUCUCUUAAUCCUCACAAUGUCGGAUGGUACUGGCUGAGUUUUACUGAACCUGAAGUGCCGGGAGACUAUAUAACUUACUCAUGGAUCCAUAGCUAGCCAGCUGCAAAGCUGGGAGUCACAACUCAAGAGACUAUUCUACACCGAAGACUGGACAAAUGGUUUCAUGAAAUGUUUCCCAGCUUUGUUAGGCUGAUACCCAGAAACAGCUGCUCUUCACUUCUCCCAACUGAAAACUCCAGUUAUUAUCAUUAAAACACCACCCUGCAGAAGAUCCACCUGCAGAAGAUCCACCCGCCCUGAGGGUAAAAACCUGCAGAAGAUCCACCCGCUCUGAGGGUAAGGGUGUAAAGUGUAAAAAGAACCUUUGCUUCUCCUCCCCGGCUCUUCAUUCACUCCCUUUAUUACUGAAGAACAUCACAGAAGGGGUGCCACUCCCUCUCCAGAGAAAGCUACUGCAUCUCAAAAGCAGUUUUGGGAUAGUAGCUGUGUUUCGCCAACAGCAUAUCACACUUGGUGAGGGUUAGCUACCUAGGAAAGCAGGCACAUGGCACAUAACACUGUGCUGCACGGUGUUCCCGCAGAUGUUUGUUCACAAAGCGCAGCCAGCUCAAGUAAAGCACAUGUUUAGGAAAUAGCUGCUCAGAAUAGAGCAAAUAACUCUGAGGAAUAUUCCUUGCUGUCAGUAUCUUCUAUAUAUUUCUACCACUUCACCCCCAAACAGUGACCUCAGGCAAAGACUAAAAUCCAGAAGCAGA
rnacentral:lncRNA from 1 species